rnacentral:rRNA from 1 species
AGUGAACGCUGGCGGUAGGCCUAACACAUGCAAGUCGAACGGCAGCACAGUAAGAGCUUGCUCUUACGGGUGGCGAGUGGCGGACGGGUGAGGAAUACAUCGGAAUCUACUUUUUCGUGGGGGAUAACGUAGGGAAACUUACGCUAAUACCGCAUACGACCUACGGGUGAAAGCAGGGGUUCUUCGGACCUUGCGCGAUUGAAUGAGCCGAUGCCGGAUUAGCUAGUUGGCGGGGUAAAGGCCCACCAAGGCGACGAUCCGUAGCUGAUCUGAGAGGAUGAUCAGCCACACUGGAACUGAGACACGGUCCAGACUCCUACGGGAGGCAGCAGUGGGGAAUAUUGGACAAUGGGCGCAAGCCUGACGCAGCCACACCGCGUGAGUGAUGAAGGCCUUCGGGUUGUAAAACCCUGUUGUUGGGAAAGAAAAGAAGCGGAUUUAACCCCGGACGUUCUGACGGUACCCAAUGAAAAAGCACCGGCUAACUUCGUG